GUCAGCUGCACGCUGCGUCAUAAACCAUUCACACACACAAGAAACUUCGGCUGAGAUUUGUGAAGACUACUGAAGAAGACUAUGGAUUUGUUGGGGAAAGAAGACAAAGGUUCUGAUGACUGAGGAUGACAGAGGAGCUGAGGAUCAUCCAGGCAGGACAGGGGAUUCAGAUGUCAUGCAGUGGGAUGAAAUUUUUUCAAAAACAUCUGUCUCUGCUGAUGACAUGGAGCAUGCAAGCUCAAGUGCCCCAGAGCCUCAGGAUGGACAUCUCCAGGAGUUCCAUCCUUCACAACACUAUGAGUUUGAUGCACGCUAUGCUGUGGUAGAGCUUUUAGCGAAAGAACGGUACGGCACUCUCUACACUGGAGUCCACAAGGCAGAUGGAAAAAAGGUCGGCAUUAAAUGUGUAAUGAAAAAUCCUACAGAUGAACUCAUCACCAUCCCUGAGCAGAUGAAAAUGCUGCCUCUGGAGGUGGCGUUAAUCAAGCUGGUGUCCAAGCCUCCUCUUUGUAAGAAUGUGGUGGAACUGCUGGAUUGGUUUGAGACGUCCACUUUCUUCUUCUUGGUGGUGGAGCGCCCCAACCCCUGCAUGGACCUCCGUGACUUCUGUAAACUUGACAAUGGUCGACUGGCUGAACCAGUGGCUCAGAAGGUCAUGCAGCAGGUGGUUCGAGCUGCUUGCCACUGCUGUGAACACGGAGUCCUUCACUGUGACUUUGAGCAGAAUCUUCUGAUCAAUCCGGACACACUAGAGGUGAAGUUAGUUGACUUUGGCUGUGCUGAAGUAAUGACGGACGAGCUUUACACAGACUUCCCAGGAAAUUUAGCUUUCUCUCCUCCUGAAUGGGUACAGUACAGAAAGUACUUUGGGUUUCCUGCUAUCAUCUGGGGUGUGGGUGUUCUCCUGUUUGAGUUAGUCUGUGGAGAGCUGCCCUUUUGCAAUGAAAAGGAGAUUGUUGAGGGACUUUUGCCAUUUAUUCCUGGUCUGUCUGAUGAGUGCUGCAACCUGAUACAGCAGUGUCUGAACAAAGACCCUGAAUGUCGACCAACUUUCAAGGAAAUUCUGGACCACAAGUGGUUCAAGAAGUCACUUGAGGACACAGCCAUGUAGAAGAUGGAAAAAGCUGAGAAGAAUCUAUUUAGGACGGGUAGGACACACUUUUUGCCAGGUUGGAAUUUCUCUUCUUUCCCCAGUGGAAGCUCCCAAAAUGCUGCUCUGUCAUCAGCGCAAGGCCUCAGUGCUCCUCAGAUCCAUGAAGAUGACCUUGGACUGGGCUUAUGUGGGUAGUUUUUCUGUGAAAACCUGUGACGACAAGUCAGUAAAUGGUUUAGUACUGAAUUACCAGUUUGUACGCAAACAGUGGAAAACAGUUUGGUGUGGACUUUAUAUUAUCUUGAACACCUUUUUCAUUAUAUUGAACUUUAAUCCUAAUAGCACACAGAUAUAGCACAGACUGAUUUGUGAUCACACUAUCUGAUAUUACCCAAAUAAGGAGGGGGUUCCUGUCUUUUUCCUUUCAAGGUUUCUUCUCAUUGCUAUCCCAGUGAGUUUUUUUUCGUGCCACCAUUGUUAAAAAGCACUAUACAAAUAAAAUUGAAUGGAAAUCAAGUUGAUGCACAUGAGUCUGUAUUAUGUCCAGGUUUAGGUUGGGCCACAGCAAGAAAAAAAAAGAAAAGAAAAUUAUCAAGAAAUAAAAAGGCAGAGAGACCAAAUAAUGCAUUUGCUUGGUGCUUCUUUACAGAGUGAACUUGCAUUCUCCCAAACUAACUUCCUACAAAUCAUUAUUUAUAAGUUAUUUGCAGAAGGUAGACUUCCCAAAAUUCAAUCUUUAUGCUCCCUAGCAAACUAAAGUCUUUUUCUUGGUGAGUCUCACUAACAAGUGGUUUUC